rnacentral:lncRNA from 1 species
AGUGCUUCCCAUUCACCAGUCAAUCCAUUAUCACUUCCAUCCCUACCCGCAGAAGCUGGGGGACAGGAAGCAUGUCUGCAUUUGUCCCCUGUAUGUCUCCAGCAUUUUCUAAACAUUUGGCCACAAAUAGGAUGAAGAGAGUGCUGUGCACUGGCCACUUAAGUGCCUUAAUCUUUACCCUAUCAGGAUGACAGUGCUCUGGGUACAGCUCACACACAUGCCCUCUUCUAGACUGGAAAGCUGCUAUUAGGAUGCUGUCAGCAAGUCCAAUAUUAGAAGUUACCCCAGAAUGAUAAAAUUCUACUCUUCUUUCAUUGCAUGUCUCUCAGUCACUUAAUUUCCCCCUUUUCCUAUUAAUUCACAUUAUAAAAACAUUGUUUUAGUUUAGGUGGAAUUUUUUUUCUGCUUCAUUACACUUGCCUUUUUUUUUUUUCUUGGACUUCCCUCCCUGAUAUCUGCAAUGAGUACACACCACCUCCCUUGCAGCCUCUCUGCUUUUAGCAAUAAUUUGCACAUAAUGGAACAGCCAGAGGGGGUUUGAUCAAUGACCUCUGUCUCAGAGAUGCUGUUCCUAGGGAAACACAUCUGCCAACAUAAAGUAUUGGAGCAAUCACAGCUCAGUGAACGCUGUAAUAAGCAACUGUUACUCUGGUGCCAUCAGUCAUGUUCAGUUACAGACCUGAAAGGAAAUGGCACCUCAGGGAGCAAUGUCCUUCCAUAAAUUUGGGCAACAAUGAAGAAUGAUUUGCAAUCAAGUAAUAAAAGGCCCAAAAAAGGUCCACCAUGCAUACUAACAUCCAGUACAGCUGACAAAGGAAAUAAAAAACCUUGGCAUUGUUUGCUCGUUAUGUAAACUACACAGCUGUCCAAGCAAUUAAGAUAUGAUUUUGGGAAUUCUCUCAUAAAAAUUUGCUAACAGUGCUUCCACUUGUGAAAGUGACAUUCUUCUUUAUCAGUAAAGUGCAUUUCAUUAAGGUAAUGCAAUUUCAUCAAGCUUAAUAGUAGAAAUUGCUUAACCUUAUGGCAAGAGUAUAUAAACAAUAUAAAAUUAAUGUCGCUCCUCGUGUGGGAGAUAGAUUUGCAUUAGUGACAGUGCUGAUCAAGUAAUAAAGAAAGCCUAUAUAGAUUGUUCAGGUCCAGGGGCAAAUAGCUGCUCUCCAACUUACAUGUUGGGAAGCUGUGCUGGCAAUAAAACAGUUAAACAUUAACCUCCAUGAAAAGCAUUGGGCUAUAAGGAAAAAGACAGAUCUAAUUACUGAAGAUAUGUUAGAAAAGUGCUUGACUUUAGGACAAAACAAGGCACCUCCCUUACUGAGAAGGAGCAUGGGCUUGCUUAGCAAGCAAAAGAAAAGGAAAGUUAACUCUUAACCCAUGCUCAAAACUGCACUGGCCCAAGACAAGGGGCCCCAUUAACUACUCAACACCCCAUAACCAUUAUCUUUUAUACCCGAGAUCUCUGGAAAUAGGGUUGUGCCUGGCAGAAGGAAGUGCUCUCUAAGCAGAAUUUCAUUUGACCUCUUUUUCUUUCCACCAUUUCAAGCCAAGCCAAAUUUUUCCUCACUAAAGCAAAUGCUAUUGUGGAGUUCUCAUAGAAGAGUUAGUGUUUGAAAGCCACUGUCAGUGGAAGAAAGAACACUUCAACUUCUAUCUCGACUCCAAAAACAUCGUUUAUCCUUGAAAAGUUUUAGCCUUCUCAAUAUAUGCUUUCAUCAGAAUUGUUCAUGAUAAAUACAAUUGGUCUAUUUCAAAUGCCCUCCUCUAAUCUUGCAUCUAUAGCAAAGGAGUGGGUCAGGACAGCAAAACCACAUAGUUUAGAUUAUCCCAGAUUGAAUUAUUAACCUCCAAACAAUAGCAUAUUCAUCUUGCAAGCAAGCCCAUUCAUCAGUUGAGCACACAAUCAUUGCGGACUGAUUCUGCAAUGUUGGACUCUCUUUCUGAGUAAGAUGGAAGCCCUGCCCUCAGGGAGCAACAGGCUGAUAAAGAAGACAAGCAUGCAAAUAAGAGGAGAGAAAGUAAAGUGAAAUAAGCAAUGGUUCAGCAUUUAAUCUGAUAUCAAGAGCAGUGAGGAAGGCGAGUUUAAUUUUGACCUUAAGGUGGGGUCAUGAGUCUAUGUGAACAAGGCAGCAUGUGUUGUCCUUGAAUGGUGAGAAGGACCAUGAGAGAUCCUUUCAGAAUAUUUCUCCAUCAUGAGGUCCUCUGAAGAGAGGGUGGAGAUUGUGAAUGAGAUUCACUGACAGAUGUGGCUAGAUUAAGAGUAUAGAACCAUGUCAUGGAGAGUCUUGAAUGACACAGGGGCCUUAGAGAGCCAGGUAACACAUUCAAAUGAAAUAGUCAAGGGAAGUUUAAUAAAGAAAUAUUUUACAAAGUUGUGGGCAGGAUUAAGGGAAAUUAACAAGGGAUAGAGUACUGUAGGGCUAGCAACAACAGGGAACUUUAUUAUCCUGAAGAUUGGGGAUGGAGAGGCUCAGAAACCUUGAGAAAAAAUGGUAGCUAUGGCUUUAGGAUUGGGCCACCAAUAUGAGAUGUGGCCUUAGGUGGAGGGAUACAGUCUAUACCAAGAAGGAUAGAGCCUAGCAAGGAGGGAGGCAAAGGAAAAAAUGCUUUGAUAUCUCCUUCCCAAAGAGCAAACCUACCAGAAGGCAAGGGAACUCCUUGAUCCAGUAGUACAUGUCAGCCCCAAGGGCACAAAACUGGGGAGAGUGGGGAGGGGUAGAGGAGAGAAUGGAUGUCAAGGAGCAAACAGAAAAUAUCCAGCAAGGCUAAAUCACCAUGAUAAGACGUUUAGACACGAGUUAACUUCUUUGGUUAUAAACCUGGUAAUAAUUCUACAGAGUAGGACUGUAAGAUUCCCCAUUUAGAUUAUGAACAACUUGAAAGCAAGGACUGGGUCUUCAUCAUUCUAUUGUGCCUUACCUAUGCUACAUAUAUCCCUUGUAUCUAGCAUAGAUGAGGCAAAGUAGCAACGUGAGAAUUUAAGGGUCUAGCAGUUAAACAAGGUUGAUGUAGUUAAGCCUCAAAUGUCAUAAAAAAGUUUAGAUUACGGUCUUUGGAAACCUACAACUGUCCCUUCAACAAGAAUAUCAGGAGAUGGAUGUCAAAGUGCAUGAUAUGCUAGUCUUGAGAUCAAUACAAUUUUAGGUCAGCCCUGAGUAUAUGGACCAAAUCUUGAAUGAGGGUAGAGUUUCGCCACAGCCAUAAGGCAUCUAAUUGCAAAAAGAAACCUCAAAAUGUGUCACUGGGGCUCAAGGGCCACUGAAAUUUUAAAAUCUAUUCUGUGGUGUGCUGGGCGUAGGUUGUGUUCACCAAGAAAGGAUAAAGCACACCAUGCUGGCUUCCUCAGCCUGUAGACAGCUGGAUACUGGAGCAGAUUUUUCAGGGGCACUUUACCAAACAUAAGGUGUUAUUCUGGCUGCUACUUCCUGGCAUUCAACAAUUCUUCAGCCCGCAAGCACACAGUAGCCUCUUCGAAAGUGAGCCCUGUACAAUUCUCCUUUCCCUUUCUUCUCUCUUCCUUUUUUAUUCUUUCAUUCAGUAGAAGUUCACACAGUGACACCUAGUGCAGCUGGCAAGGCUAUGACAACCCUCUUGCUGCUGUGUUUCUUCAUCUGGAAAAUGAAGGCACCAUAAUAAGGGCUCCCUGCCUCGUAGGGCUGUAAGGAAAGGUCAUGAUUA